GCCAGCCGCUCACAACUCCUCACCGGGGCAUCAGGACUUCUCCUCCGCACAUGCCCGAACCAACUCACCCUCGCUUCUCGCAUCUUCUCAUCCACCGGGACCACCCCCGCCUUCUGCCGAAUAACUUCAUUCUUAAUCUUAUCUAACCUGGUGAGCCCGCACAUCCACCUGAGCAUCUCCAUCUCCGCAACCUUCAUUCUCUGAACAUGAGAGUUCUUCACUGGCCAGCACUCCGCCUCAUA
rnacentral:lncRNA from 1 species